rnacentral:rRNA from 1 species
GACGAACGCUGGCGGCGUGCUUAACACAUGCAAGUCGAACGGAAAGGCCCUGCUUUUGUGGGGUGCUCGAGUGGCGAACGGGUGAGUAACACGUGAGUAACCUGCCCUUGACUUUGGGAUAACUUCAGGAAACUGGGGCUAAUACCGGAUAGGAGCUCCUGCUGCAUGGUGGGGGUUGGAAAGUUUCGGCGGUUGGGGAUGGACUCGCGGCUUAUCAGCUGGUUGGUGGGGUAGUGGCUUACCAAGGCUUUGACGGGUAGCCGGCCUGAGAGGGUGACCGGCCACAUUGGGACUGAGGUACGGCCCAGACUCCUACGGGAGGCAGCAGUGGGGAAUAUUGCACAAUGGGCGGAAGCCUGAUGCAGCAACGCCGCGUGCGGGAUGACGGCCUUCGGGUUGUAAACCGCUUUCGCCUGUGACGAAGCGUGAGUGACGGUAAUGGGUAAAGAAGCACCGGCUAACUACGUG